UACGUAGGGUGCAAGCGUUGUCCGGAAUUAUUGGGCGUAAAGAGCUCGUAGGCGGUUUGUCGCGUCGAAUGUGAAAUCCCGGGGCUCAACCCCGGGUCUGCAUUCGAUACGGGCAGACUAGAGUUCGGUAGGGGAGUCUGGAAUUCCUGGUGUAGCGGUGAAAUGCGCAGAUAUCGGGAAGAACACCCGUGGCGAAGGCGGCUCUCUGGGACGGUACUGACGCUGAGACGCGAAAGCGUGGGGAGCGAACAGG
rnacentral:rRNA from 1 species